UACGAAGGGGGCUAGCGUUGUUCGGAAUUACUGGGCGUAAAGCGCGCGUAGGCGGUGAUCUUUGUCAGAGGUGAAAUCCCGAGGCUCAACUUCGGAAUUGCCUUUGAAACGGGAUCGCUUGAGUCCGAGAGAGGAUGGCGGAAUUCCUAGUGUAGAGGUGAAAUUCGUAGAUAUUAGGAAGAACACCGGUGGCGAAGGCGGCCAUCUGGCUCGGUACUGACGCUCAGGCGCGAAAGCGUGGGGAGCAACAGGG
rnacentral:rRNA from 1 species